UAAGGAACAGAGCGUACACGGUGGAUGCCCUGGCAGUCAGAGGCGAUGAAGGACGUGCUAAUCUGCGAUAAGCGUCGGUAAGGUGAUAUGAACCGUUGUAACCGGCGAUUUCCGAAUGGGGAAACCCAGUGUGAUUCGUCACACUAUCAUUAACUGAAUCCAUAGGUUAAUGAGGCGAACCGGGGGAACUGAAACAUCUAAGUACCCCGAGGAAAAGAAAUCAACCGAGAUUCCCCCAGUAGCGGCGAGCGAACGGGGAGCAGCCCAGAGCCUGAAUCAGUGUGUGUGUUAGUGGAAGCGUCUGGAAAGGCGCGCGAUACAGGGUGACAGCCCCGUACACAAAAAUGCACAUAUUGUGAGCUCGAUGAGUAGGGCGGGACACGUGGUAUCCUGUCUGAAUAUGGGGGGCCCAUCCUCCAAGGCUAAAUAC
rnacentral:rRNA from 1 species